GCUUUCAAUUCCUUAUCUGUACUCGCUGUAGUUUACUUCACAGGCCUUGUGCUUCCUCGCUGGGUACAGGACACUGUGGUAUUAAGGCUGGGGAAGGGACAAGAGUCUCCUGAGCAAAGUGACUAUUUUGGGUGCAGUUACAAUGGAUCCCUUCUAGUUGCAGAUGUAUAGUAGUAAUAAAAGAUGGUUUGAUGGCGGAGCCGUGGAAUAUGGGAGAUGAAGAAACUACGUGACAUUGCCGAUGGAGAUGCUAAUUUGUUUGUUUUUCUCUUCUCUGCUGGGUUUAGUACCAAGGAAAAAUAAGUCACAUGUCAGAGUCUACUGCCCUCAUGCAAUGGAAAGUGAGUGAGAGCAGCGAGCCUGUGAGCAUUGUUCAUGCCAGGCAAGAGCCGUUCAUUUGGGAGCCAAGCAGAUGCCACUGUCAGUGAGAUAAGUGUCUGUUUUGCUGAGGGUUCUGUUAACAGCCCAUCUGACUCCAGCAGUGUGUCCUCCGCAGGAGAAAGUUGGAUCCAGGAGGAUGACUCCAGAUGUUUGCAGAGGAAUCGUCCAGGAGCCCUCGCCGGAGGAGAAUAUUCAGAAGUGGAUCUGAGAAGCCUGGACAUCCUUCUAAGGAGACAUGAAUAGUCCUCGGGUUUCUGCAUAACUGGCUGUUCCUCAUCUGUACUUGCUGUAGUUUUCUUCACAGGCCGUGUGCUUCCUCCUUGGGUACGGGGCUCUGUGGCUGGGGAGGGCCCAGAAUCUGCUCUGCGGAGUGACUGUUGGGUGCCAUUAAGAGGGCCAAUGCAGAGAGGAGAAAAGGGGCCUGAACCCUGAUUACAGGGCGGUCACCCUUUCUUUAGUAAAAUACUCCUCCUUUAAACUCGGUGCGGGGGGAAGUCCCCAAUGUGAAAAGAUCUGGAAAUGAACGGGUAAGGGAGGGAUCCUGCUGAGUGUCUCCUUUCCGAUCAAUCCUCCAUCUCUUAGCGACACCCUUCCGGACUUACCUUCCUACCUCACCAAGAAAAUAACUUGGUGCUCCCUAACCUUCACCAGAAAAGACCCCUCUUCCUUGUGACGCAGUCCUGUUAGUAGGGUUAGGUGCACCCACGUGCUGGCUCUGAAUACCACAUCAUGUGCUUACAACACCUGAACAUUAACACAUUUCAGAAAGGAUAGCCACAUCAAUCCCUUCAGACGUAGUCCUAGGAAUCUCCUCUGUCUAUCUCCAAAGAGACACAAGGCCUGGAAUUUGGACACAGCUGAGGGAGCUGACCGAAUGUCUACAGUUGAACACUCAUCAGUGCGACGGUGUGUUUCUUGUGCACAAGAAAACAAAGGGUUAAAGUUGUGGUUGGUUGAGCGGUGUAAAUUGGGCAGGGCAAAAGGACUUGAGGAAGGAUGAGGUGGAAGUGAGGGUCUGAAAGGAGCCCCCCACCUCACCUGUUCAUUUCCAGACAGAGUGACAUUUGCAUGGUUGGGCCAUUUCUUGGCUGUUUUGAGAAAAGGGGCGCAUUUUCCCACGGCUUCCACCAUCCCCUUACAGCUGCCCCUUUGCUACACUAUGUUGCAUCUGACCUGGAUAGGCCGCAAGUAAGAUUUCAUUUCAAAUCUCAAAAAAGUCCAGUAGAAAUAAUUGUGGGGGAAUUUCCUGUCACUAAGAGAAACGGAAGCUCAAGCCUUCUCAAGGGGUGGGGUGUCGCUCAGCCACAGGCAGAAAAAGGCUCCCCUAGUUUAAGCGUGCGAGGGAUAAGACCUUACAGCCUGGUUACAGGGCAGUCAUUUUGCCGGGCGUGUCAAAGUGACCUGUGGUUUAAUUGGCUUGGCAAAGGAGACCCAAACCUUCCUUACAGGGUGGUCCUUAAGCCAGGGGCGUUCGAAUGGGGCAGAGAGAAAAGCACUGUAAAGGAGAGACCUCCCUUCCCCCAGGAGAGCGUGGUCUCAUUGUCCAGCAAGUGCCAGCGGCCCAAGAGGAGCUAGAAAGGGGAGACCUGCACCCUUCUCACAGGGAUUGGUCAGUGGCAAAGAGCGUUUUAAAGGCUAGGUCCUAAGGAGCUCAAAGCCACAGAGACCUUGUGGUGAUCUGCGUGUAAUGUAAUAUCUCAUUGUAAGGUGACAAGGCAAGCAAGAGUUAAUUAACUCACAAAGAAUCAGAGGGGUAGCCAUGUUAGUCUGGUUCUGUAGAAGCAGCAAAGAAUCCUGUGGCACCUUAUAGACUAACAGACGUUUUGCAGCAUGAGCUUUCGUGGGUGAAUACCCACUUCUUCGGAUAACUCACAAACUGAUCUUGACCCAUGGCCAAACUUUAAAGACUGGUUAGGAAGAUGUGUAAAGGAAUAGAGGUUUGAAAUGCAGCCUGCAUUGUUAGAGAUACAAGGGUAAAUGUUAGCUCAGGUCUUGUCUAUUGCUAUAGCUGUGAUUCAAAGAUCAAAAAAGCAAUAUUAACAUUUCGGAAGACACUGGAGUGAGAUAACGUUAUUGUCUAUAUCAGGGGUCAGCAACCUUUCACAAGUGGUGUGCUGAGUCUUCAUUUAGUCACUCUAAAAUUUAUUACUGGCACGUGAAACCUUAAUGUUUUU